GUCGAGCGGCAGCGGGAAGUAGCUUGCUACUUUGCCGGCGAGCGGCGGACGGGUGAGUAAUGUCUGGGAAACUGCCUGAUGGAGGGGGAUAACUACUGGAAACGGUAGCUAAUACCGCAUGACCUCGAAAGAGCAAAGUGGGGGAUCUUCGGACCUCACGCCAUCGGAUGUGCCCAGAUGGGAUUAGCUAGUAGGUGAGGUAAUGGCUCACCUAGGCGACGAUCCCUAGCUGGUCUGAGAGGAUGACCAGCCACACUGGAACUGAGACACGGUCCAGACUCCUACGGGAGGCAGCAGUGGGGAAUAUUGCACAAUGGGCGCAAGCCUGAUGCAGCCAUGCCGCGUGUGUGAAGAAGGCCUUAGGGUUGUAAAGCACUUUCAGCGAGGAGGAAGGCAUCACACUUAAUACGUGUGGUGAUUGACGUUACUCGCAGAAGAAGCACCGGCUAACUCCGUGCCAGCAGCCGCGGUAAUACGGAGGGUG
rnacentral:rRNA from 1 species